rnacentral:rRNA from 1 species
GCUUUUGUCAGUUUGAUGGAGCGGUCGAACCGGUGUGGUAGUAGUUAAGCAAUGGUGUGACACAGGAAGGCAGUCCAACCCGGGCGAUGGUUGUCCCGGGGUAAGGUCGUAGGGCGAAACGUAGGCAAAUCCGCGUUUCACAUGCCUGAGAACUGAUGCCGAGCCGUAAGGCGAAGUGGAUGAUCCUAUGCUGUCAAGAAAAGCAUCUAGCGAGAUUUUAAGUGGCCCGUACCCGAAACCGACACAGGUGGUCAGGUAGAGAAUACCAAGGCGAUCGAGAUAAUUAUGGAUAAGGAACUCGGCAAAAUGCCCCCGUAACUUCGGGAGAAGGGGGGCCCUUUAGUGUGUAGGAGUUUUCCUCCGAAGCAUUGGAAGGCCGCAGAGACCAGGCUCAAGCGACUGUUUACCAAAAACACAGGUCCGUGCGAAGUAGCAAUACGAUGUAUACGGACUGACGCCUGCCCGGUGCUGGAAGGUUAAGGGGACUGGUUAGCCGCAAGGCGAAGCUGAGAACUUAAGCCCCAGUAAACGGCGGUGGUAACUAUAACCAUCCUAAGGUAGCGAAAUUCCUUGUCGGGUAAGUUCCGACCUGCACGAAUGGCGUAACGACUUGAGCGCUGUCUCAUCCGUAAACUCGGCGAAAUUGCAUUACGAGUAAAGAUGCUCGUUACGCGCAGAAAGACGGAAAGACCCCGGGACCUUUACUAUAUCUUGAUAUUGGUGUUCGGAACGGUUUGUGUAGCAUAGGUGGGAGACUUUGAAGCGGGCACGCCAGUGUUUGUGGAGUCAUCGUUGAAAUACCACUCUGAUCGUUUUGAACUUCUAACCUCGGUCCGUAAUCCGGAUCAGGGACAGUGUCUGGUGGGUAGUUUGACUGGGGCGGUCGCCUCCUAAAAAGUAACGGAGGCGCUCAAAGGUUCCCUCAACCUGGUUGGCAAUCAGGUGUCGAGUGUAAGUGCACAAGGGAGCUUAACUGUGAGACAGACAUGUCGAGCAGGUGCGAAAGCAGGAACUAGUGAUCCGGCGGUGGCUUGUGGAAGCGCCGUCGCUCAACGGAUAAAAGGUACCCCGGGGAUAACAGGCUGAUCUUGCCCAAGAGUCCAUAUCGACGGCAAGGUUUGGCACCUCGAUGUCGGCUCGUCUCAUCCUGGGGCUGGAGUAGGUCCCAAGGGUUGGGCUGUUCGCCCAUUAAAGAGGCACGCGAGCUGGGUUCAGAACGUCGUGAGACAGUUCGGUCCCUAUCUUCUGUGCGCGCAGGAAACUUGAGAAGGGCUGACC